rnacentral:lncRNA from 10 species
CUGGAAUCUGCACUUAAAGUGGUGUGAUCCAAGUCUUGUUCUCACUGGGUUUCUCUUUCAAGACAAUUGCACUAGGGUUAAGUUGAUUGGUUUUAUGGCAUCAUGUAAAGUUAAUUUUUUAAAAAAUCAUUGCUUGUGAACUUGGGGCCCUAAAUAGAAAUAUUUUGCACAUGUGUGGCCCCAAGCUCUGUGAGGGAGUGUAGUAACAUCAGUUCUCCAGAGGACGUGAGGCAGGGGUGGAUGCUGCCCUGCCCUCCUACCCCAACUGUUUGCAGACUCAGCCCAUCUAAUUCCUCCUUAAAUUUGUUCUUGUCUCCUUUAUCUCAGUUAGUGGUGCAGCCAUCCUCCUGACGCCCUAGGUUCACCUCUGAGUUCAUGUUCUCACACCCUUAAGGAUCGCCAUGUCUGCCCCUAUCUCCUACACCUUGCCAACAAAGCAGGAAUUGCCUAGAGUCACGGUCUGAUCCAAGUUGCUUCCCUGCUCAAAACUGGUGUCUGUAGAAUCUAGGCCAACCUUGGAGCCAGCAGAUGACUUUUCUAGCUCAGCUUCCUCUUUACCUGAGCUCCAGCCACAUGAACUGACUCAGUGUGUCUUGUGUUUUCCCAGCUCUUGGUGUUUGUUUAUGCUGGACCCCUUGUAUUAGUUUUCUAGGGCUGCUGUAACAAAAUACCACAGACUUGGUGGCUUAAACAACAUAAAUUUAUUUUCUCACAGUUCUGUAGGCUCAAAGUCCAAGAUGAAAGUGUCAGGAGAAUUGAUUUCUUCUGAGGCCUCUCUCCUUGGCUUGCAGAAGGCUGUGUUCUCACUGUGUCUCUAUAUGGCCUUCCCUCUGUGUGUCUAUCUGUGUCCUGAUCACCUCCUCCUCCUCUUCUUUUCUCUCUCUCUUUUUUUUUUUUGGAGGCAUGAUCUCCUUCUAUCUCUCAGGCUGGAGUACAGUGGCGCCAACACAGCUCACUGCUGCCUUGAACUCUUGGGCCCCAGUGAUUCUCCCACCUCAGCUUCCCAAGUAGAUAGGACUACAGGUGUAUACCAUCACCUAGCUAAUUUUUUUAGAGAUGGGGUCUUGCUAUGUUGCCCAGGUUGGUCUUGAGCUCCUGGCCUCAAGCAGUCCUCUCGCCUCGGCCUCCCAAAGCACUAAUCUCUUCUUCUUGUGAAGACACCAGUCAUGUUGGAUUAGGGCCCACCCUAAUAACCUCAUUUUAACUUAGUUAUCUCUUUAAAGACCCUGUCUCCCAUUCUGAGAAUCUGGGUUAGAACUGCAACAUACAAAUUUCUUUUGGGGGAUGGGUACAAUUCAGCCCGUAAUACCCUUGCCCUAGGAAAGCCCUUAUUUCUACCUUUGCCUGUCAAACUCCUACAUGUUCCAGGCUCACUCUGAAUCAAACACCUACAUGUUCAAGGCUCACUCUGAAUGUCACGUUUCCAUGAACUUCUCCUUAACUCUGUGCAUGGUUGCUUAGCUGCCUUUUAUGUUCUGGGAGGCCCCCAUGACAGCCAAGUCCCCAGGCGCAACUGCUGUGAUGAAGGCUGGAUUUUUGCUUCCACCUCUUGGGGACACAAGGCUUGUAUAGCCCCUGGGGCCCACGAGGCUUGUAUGGCUUCUGGGGCCCUGCUGUUCCCACCACAAGCAGUCCCCUUGGGCUAAGCAUCACUCAGGGUAUACCAUGUGUGGCCAUCUGUAUAAUUCAUGAGGGAGGACUGUGUCACCCAGGCACUGCUGCUCAUUUGCAAGAAUUAUGGGCUUUGACAGAACUCCCUGUCAUGCAGGCCUCCUUGUCAUAUCUGUGGUAAUUACUAUUCCUCUUCUAAUUACUUAUCUUAUCCACAUGGCCCCUUUCAGCUGCAGCACAGGAGACUCCUGUCCUCUUCUGCAGAGGCAGCUGUGUCACUGCCACUGCUUCCGUGGCCCCCGAGGCACAGCCUCUGCUGAGGCCUCCUUUCUGGAUUCUGAGCCGUGCCUCAUUUAGACCAUUGCUCUGAAGGACCACAGGCCUGGGAGGAGGCCUUUAAGCCUGUGUGCAGCUGAUCACCAGCUCCAAGCUACCAGCAUUCACCUUGGGAGGAGGCAGCUCUCCCCCAAGAUUACAACUUGCUCCAAGUCAGGUGGAGAAAAAUAGCAAAGAGAACAUCAUAUUUAAGAGUUUGAAUGUGCUGAGUGGAUGCUUUGGAAACCUAACCUCAGGCAAAAGGUCCUUGGUUCAGGCUUGGUGACUGAUGUUGCAUUGUCUGCUGUUAAUAGCCUAGAGAUUGAAGACCCAAGUAGGCCAUAUUUUUGCCUGUCAACAGCGAAUCUCCAAUCUUUUAACUUCUUUAGUUUCAAUAUUUGAUUUUGCUUGGGUUCACCUCUACAGUUGCUUUGCCUUGUCCCUGGUCACCUUACUAUAUUUGACUGAAUUAAGCUUUCUGUUUCAAUGUAAGUACUUAGUAUUUUGCAUUUAAAAGGCUGUUCUUUAAUAACUUUGGAGGAAGUUGACUGAUUUUAAUGAAAUUCUGUCCAUUAUAAAAGGCAUUCACAUACACCUCAGGUUUAAUUUAAAUGCAGUCUGUCCCCUUGAAAUGAAAUGGCAAUGGGCAAAAGUCUCCAAAAAGACCAUUUUUUUCAAUAAUACAUAAGGAUUUCCGUGGAAAUUGGUGCAUUUUUACAAGGUAUGGAGAUAUUGUCCCACCUGUGUGAACCUGCCUAAAAGAGUAUCUCUGUGUAACAGUGAUGGUGAGUUAGAAAUGGAGCUCUCUUGUCUCAAUGCCUGACUUCAGUCUGAUCUUUGCACUACUCCUUGACUGCUGACCUCACUCCCCGCCCUGCCAUGUACAUCCUCUGUGUACCCUGGGAACUUGUAUGUAGUUAAUUGUAUCUGGACCUGCACCCCCAGCUUCUUUCUUGGCUUCAUUUAAUCUCUCUCUUGGCUUCCUUGCCUUCAGGGAUCUCCUUCAAGGCAGGGCCAUUUCUGGUUUCCUCCAGCUCCCAGGGCUCCUUCCUGCAACAGAAAAUGUUCCUGCCUUCACAGAGCUUACAUUUUAGUAAGUGGAUUGGGAGGUUGCGGCCAAGUGUAUAGUGAGGUGACGCUUAGGGAAAGCUUAGGCUGCUCUGAGAACACCUGAAAAGUACACCCAACCGGCUUGGUGUGGUGGCUCACACCUGUAAUCCCAGCACUUUGGGAGGCCGAGGCGGGUGGAUCACGAGGUCAGGAGAUUGAGACCAUCCUACAUAACACGGUGAAACCCCG